GCGCUGGUGGUGCAAUUGCAGCACGCCUGACUUCCGGUCGGGAGGUCCAGGUGCAAGUCCUGGCCGGCGCU
rnacentral:tRNA from 1 species